UCUCUCAUAGGCUGGAGCUCUACCUUGCCGCCCCACCCCGCACCUUGCCCCGCCCCCGCGCCCAAUUUGAAGCGUCGUCGCGGCCGCGUGGGCAAAUGUUGCUUCGUGCUGACCGCUGAGGCUCCAAGCGUUUCCUACCUCAGCGCGAGGUUCUGGGGAGGUGUCACAGAUGUGUCUCAGAGGUGGCAGAACUUGAUUUGGACCUUGAAGGUGAAGAAUUUGGAUGAGGCAAUUGGGGCAUUCCAGGUUCCGGCCAACUCCUGAAGAAAAUGGCAUCUAGGAUGACCAGGGACUCAAGACCAAGGCACUCCAGGUAUGCCACAGACAUGAAAUAUACUACAAAGGUACGCGGCACAGAGUGAGCUUAGGUCUUCAGGAAGAAAGUCUGUGCUAUUAUCUCCUCAAUAGCUACAAUUACUCCAAGCUACUGUUUCUGUGUUCUAAGCAGAGUUAACCACUGAGCUCCAUAAAUUGCCAGGAGUUGUAUCAGAGACUACAGAAAAUCUGCACUCCGAUACUUAGAUCUCCAACCUAUUUCUUCAAGCUUACCAGAGUGAUUCAGCUACGUUUAGUUUUAGUUAACUUACAUCAAGUUCUUCUUUUGAUUCUAACAGCCUUUCAUGGUCUGCACAAUCCACCAGAAAUACAAUGCCAUUGAUAGCAGGAAGGUAGUUUUUCCACACUCUUCGAGCUAACAAAAACAAUCAGGAGUUAGAUUUUAUUUGCCGGUCAAACCUAGCAGAUGGUUUGAUGGAAGAGUCCAACAAGAAACCAAGUUUAAUUAUCCCUUAGCUGCUACCACUUCACUAUAUAUUCAAAUUCAUCUUUAACCCAGGGUUGCCAAAUUUUUCCAGAGGACCAAGGAAGGCUUUCCUUGAUGUGAGCAAGUCAAAUAUUUUACUCUGCUCCAGUUCUCCCAAGUUAGAAGUGGAAUUAUUAUUUGCUACUAAUGGACAAUGAUGCACAUUAAGUUCACUGGAUGACUGCCACUAUUUUAAUGCAAUAUUCAUUUUCUGACAUUUCAAGUUUAGCAGUUAUUUUGCUACUGAUAAAUUUGGAGUCAGUGAAAGGAGGAAAUUAGUGGGUACAGAUUUGUUAAGUUAAAAUAAUAAACUGUUACAACAGAAAUUAACUGAA